UACUAUUUUCUUUCAACAUUUAUGUACUAAUCUAUAAUAUAAGAAAACUAUAUCUUUUUUAACUUUCAAUCUGGUGCUGCCAAGUGGCUUCCUGUGAACACAAUAUUCCUUUCUUCAUAAGGCGCCACAUCACUAUUGAUUUCUCAACCUUCCAUCAGUUACUAUUUGUUUCUUCUGCCUUCCACCUUCCAUCGGUUAAUGAUAUUUACUUCACUCAACCUUCCACUUCUCGCAGUUACACCUUCCAUCGGUUACUGCUAUUUACUUCACUCAACCUUCCACUUCUAGCAGUUACACGUAUAUGCAGACUCUUUCUCUCUUUCUUUCUCUCACGUCCUCUCUCUCCUUCUUCCUCCUCUUCUUUCUUCUUCUUCUUCUGCUUCCUUUUUCCUCUUCUUUCCAAGCCGUAAUGAUACCAUCAAAGUUCUUUCAAUAACAAAUCAAGAUCCUAUCUAUAACACGUUGCUAACAAGUCCUAACCGAAGCCGAUAAAAUUAUUGAACUCAAUCAUACAUAUGCAAUUUCGUAUCUUGUCAGUGGUGUUUGAUUUCACUAACUGAUGUUGUUUUUCACAGGAAUUGAACAUUGGUAGGUUAACUGGUGUUGAGCUUCUUAAAUAUUUGUCUGGUUUAUGAAUUCAAGUUUUAUAAGAAGCUUUGAGGUUUGAAGAUGGUCGAGAUUGGAGCAAUUCUCUUCCUUCUUCUAUUUGGUGUUUUUUGUCAAAUGUUUUCAUCGGAGCAAUUUUCAGGCGGUUUUCUGGUGGUCGAUAAACGUGGAUCUCCUAUUCCCUUUUGAUUUAUUUUCUGGGUGAGGAUAUUUAUGAUGUUGUGAUUAGAGAAGUGAAGGAAGAGACAGGGGGUGUCGAGCAUUGAGAGCAAGCCAAGCCGACCAUUGGGAGAAACCCGUAUACUUCACGUUGCAGCAGAUUUUCUGGUCCCCGUUUCAAUUCCUAAGGAGCCUACAGUUUCGCCAAUCCGUCGCUGCAUCCACAUACCACACAUUUCAAAUUACUAUUGACAGCACAGGUAAUGCUUCUGGUCAUCGUUGGAAAAGGCGUUGACGUUUGGGAUCACAGGCGUAACCUAAAUUUGUCUGGUACUUAAUUCUUUUAAUUUUUCUUAUCGUUCAUACAAUACAAUACAGAUUGAAAUGCAGCAGAUUGUUCCGAAUUUGGGAGUUAGGUUCUUUAGCUAUGACCAAGCAUCUAAGUAUGCUAUGCACAUCAACUGGUGUGCAUAGUAUACGACUCUUACAUUUUUUAGGUACAUGCUGGUUUAAGGCCUUGGUCUGUUUGGUAUUGUAUCAAUAUUAUUCACAGGAAUUUUAAGUGCAUAUGACAUUUUUCCUGGGUUAUUUUCAUGUCUGUAUGAAAAUAUUGUGGUGACUAUUUUGAUGUUUUGUUUUAGGUCAUGAAGCACUAUGCGUAUUCAAAUUUGUCACGAAGUUCUCAAAGAUUUGUCUCUGCUUUUUUUGAGUUGAUAUCAUCAUUAGCGGAAACAUUUAUGUAAGAAUGGUUUCAUUUACAGCAUGUGUCAUCUCUCACUGGUAAGCUUCAUAGCUUCACCGGGGAUCUUGCCGAGGUUUAAUUAACUUUUAAUUAACAAUAUUCUAGCAGGUGGUACUUUUACUUUAUACUCACUGUUGUAUAGAAAUGCAAAAGUUGGUCUACUACCUUGUGAUAGAACUGCCAAUGAGGUUAUGCUUUUGGAGGACACAACAACUCCUCCUUCUAAGAUCAACUUUUACUCCAGAGCUAGAAGGGCCAUUGAGAAACACAAAUUCUGUCACUAUCUGAUUCUGUUCUUCGCCCUUUUUGGUUCCUGUAUGACUAUUGGAGCCGUAGUCCUCGCUCCAGCACUCUCGGACUUAUCAGCUUCAUAUGGAGUUAAGAGAUCCUUAUCAAAAUUAUCACACCUAUGUAAAGUGCUUAAUUGUUACACUUAUUUGCCCCUAAAACUAUCUGAUUACUUUCUUGUCUAUCUAUAAUCUGUGAACCCAACUAUAUCCUUGAAAUGCAUUGUGUCUAAUAUGUCUGUUUUUGAUUGGAUUUAGAAUGAAUCAUAUUGAUCCCUUGCUUAAAUUAUCAUGUACAGGUUGGUUCAGGAUAGGUUCAUGAACAUGGCAUCGGAGGUUAAUGAACAAAACGAAGUAUGGAUGAAGACGAGGAUGACGAGGAUGCUUAAGGUAUGUUAUGUCUGGCUGGUUUAUGUUUUCUCCUAAAUGCUUUGCUGCCCUGUUUGAUUUUUUGAUGAUGACCUUUUGAGACAUGUCUUAUUUUGAAUGUGUUAAAGGGCUGCCUUGAAAGGCCAAGGUUUGAAUGUUUAUUUGGUUUUGUAUUGAAUGAACUAUUUUGAAUUGGUGGACAUGGUAUGAGGUUUAGGAAUGAUGCAGGUUUGGCUUUCUUUGGGAUGAAUGUGUGUGCAUUAACUGAUGCAAGGGCUGGUUUUUUAUUGUGUGUGUGUAUAUAUAUAUAUAUAUAUAUAUAUAUAUAUAUAUAUAUAUAUAUAUAUAUAUAUAUAUAUAUAUAUAUAUAUAUAUAUAUAUAUAUAUGGAUGUUUCUGGAGGCUCUUCCUUGACUAAAGAGAUGAUGGAUGACACGACUGACUUGAACAGUGAUGAAUGUUGCCUUUGCAAGAUGGACGGAAAUUUAAUAUGUUGUGAUGGUUGCCCUGCUGCAUUAUGCAUACCACUCAAGGUGUGUCAGGAUUGCAAGUAACAAUCUGCCUGAAGGUGACUGGUAUUACUCAAUUUCGAUGAUUAUCAGGUCAAAGAGUAGACGAGACGAUAGUGAUGGUGCUCUCAUGGUGAACUCUCAUUCUCAGUAGUAUCUGUUGUGGUUGUACUUGAAAUUGUGUUUUGAUUAUUAACCCAUGAUGAUAUUUUGUAGGUAAGAUUAUAAUUCCUAACAUGUUUUGAAUGUUGUCUAUCAAUUGUAACUAAGGUUAAGAACUUAUGUUAGUAUCAAUCAACUUCCUUGUGAAUAUAAUCUAUCAUGUCUUGAA